rnacentral:ncRNA from 1 species
GUGUUGUAUAAAAGGAGACAAGAUUAUCACCCCUCUUGACAAGGAGAGAAGUUUCAGGUCUGUAACACGUGGCCACUUACCUCAUUGCAUCUAACCAACCUUCUUU